GAUGAACGCUGGCGGCGUGCCUAAUACAUGCAAGUCGAGCGAACGGACGAGAAGCUUGCUUCUCUGAUGUUAGCGGCGGACGGGUGAGUAGCACGUGGAUAACCUACCUAUAAGACUGGGAUAAAUUCGGGAAACCGGAGCUAAUACCGGAUAAUAUUUUGAACCGCAUGGUUCAAAAGUGAAAGACGGUCUUGCUGUCACUUAUAGAUGGAUCCGCGCUGCAUUAGCUAGUUGGUAAGGUAACGGCUUACCAAGGCAACGAUGCAUAGCCGACCUGAGAGGGUGAUCGGCCACACUGGAACUGAGACACGGUCCAGACUCCUACGGGAGGCAGCAGUAGGGAAUCUUCCGCAAUGGGCGAAAGCCUGACGGAGCAACGCCGCGUGAGUGAUGAAGGUCUUCGGAUCGUAAAACUCUGUUAUUAGGGAAGAACAUAUGUGUAAGUAACUGUGCACAUCUUGACGGUACCUAAUCAGAAAGCCACGGCUAACUACGUG
rnacentral:rRNA from 1 species